rnacentral:rRNA from 1 species
GUGCCAGCCGCCGCGGUAAUACGUAGGCAGCAAGCGUUGUUCGGAGUUACUGGGCGUAAAGGGUGUGUAGGCGGUUCGCCAAGUUUGGUGUGAAAUCUCCCGGCUCAACUGGGAGGGUGCGCCGAAAACUAGCGGACUCGAGUGCGGGAGAGGGAAGCGGAAUUCCUGGUGUAGCGGUGAAAUGCGUAGAUAUCAGGAGGAACACCUGCGGUGCAGACGGCUUCCUGGACCGCCACUGACGCUGAAACACGAAAGCGUGGGUAGCAAACAGGAUUAGAAACCCUCGUAGUCC